UUUUGUGAUGAAGCGGCACUGGGCUCCGAAAAAAAACAUCCAUGAGCAAGAAAAGCCACUUUGCGGCAGGCCUAGAAAACCUCGCCCACUGACC
rfam:Metarhizium acridum CQMa 102 unplaced genomic scaffold Scf_021, whole genome shotgun sequence.